ACACUCAGUCAGUGCUCAGUUUGAGCCAAUCUUGCUAAGUACUGGUGUGCAAGGCUCAGCUGGUAAACGCUGGUAACCCUGGGUACAUCUUGAUGGUGCAUCAAGAACAAACUCUUCAACCACUGCAUCGUCCAGACACAGGACAGCAGCCAACACUUCAAUAAUGUACCGGGAUUCCUGAAGGGACGGCACGCUACUAGUAGAGCAUCUCGUGAGGUCCACAGUGGGCUCUAUCGAGCUACUCAUCUGCAGAAAAAGUGCAAUAAUUCUUUAACACUGACUGAACUGAUGCCUCCAUUUGAUGAUACAAAUUAGAAUCGAGAAAUGACAACCAUCCUGCUAUUAACUGCUUACUAGCAUUACAAAAUUAUUUUUUUCCCAGAAAGUAGAAACUGUGGCUUUCUAUUAUGUGUCUGUCUUUUUUUUUAACUACUGUGGUUACUGACAUACUUCUAAUAGUCUAUACUAGUCAUACUUCUAAUAGUGGGUCCAACUUUGAAGGAAUGUGAGUGGAGAUUAUUGACCAGACUCAUUGUGAGUGUGUGUUUUUAAUUACUAUAUUAUAUGCAUAUGCCAUGCUUAGCAAGCGUUUAUUAUUCGUUUCAUCCAACGUUUUUGCGGCAGCAAGGAAUUGACAAAGGAAACUUGAUAUUUAGGAAUAGCAAAUAGAUAGGAAUAGAUAUUCUUAUAACAACCAUAUAUACAGGAAUAUUCCGAUAAUAUGCCUGCACGCUUAUAAACAUCGUAUUCGGAAUAUGGCUGCAAGCUGAAUAUAGACAUUAAACGGAAUUUGAUGUGCAUGUAAACGUAGCCAGUGAUACACAAAUAAAUAAGUCAUUUCCUGUCAGGAUUUUUAUCUGCUCAGUCUGUCAGGAUGUGGGGUUUCCACAAACACACACUUUUUUUUUUCUUUUCAAAUUUGCUAUCCUUGAAAAGAAUCACCUAUUAAUAAAAUCUAGUUAAUAUUUACACCACUUAGGUUACUGAAAUUGGGUAAAUAUGAGGUUAGUCAGAAUUAAAUGAAAGCUUUAGCUAACGCUCAAGUUAACCAUGUUAGCUAAUGCUGGCUAAUACCACAGCUACUCACCUGACAGCUGACCUACUCUAGCAAAUAUUUAAGAAUUGUAUAGGUUUUCAUAAUUCGUUUAAUUCGAGCAUUCGGGUAGUAUUUCAGCUUUCUUUUUUUACUUUAGUGCAAACAUUAUUACAUGAACUGAAAUUACUUACGGUAAUAAGGUCGCUC